rnacentral:rRNA from 1 species
AAAAAAUACCAUCCCAGUUCGGAUUGCAGUCUGCAACUCGACUGCAUGAAGCUGGAAUCGCUAGUAAUCGCGGAUCAGAAUGCCGCGGUGAAUACGUUCCCGGGUCUUGUACACACCGCCCGUCACACCAUGGGAGUCGGAUAUGCCCGAAGUCAGUGACCCAACCGCAAGGAGGGAGCUGCCGAAGGUGGAGCCGAUGACUGGGGUGAAGUCGUAACAAGGUAUC